UUAGAAGGAAAACUAAAAAACAGAAAGUUACCCUAGGGAUAACAGUGCAAUCCUGUUUUAGAGUCCAUAUCGACAAUAGGGUUUAGACCUUGAUGUUGGAUCAAGACAUCCUAAUGGUGCAGAUGCUAUUAAGGGUUUGUUUGUUCAACAAUUAAAGUCUUAUGUGAUCUGAGUUCAGACCGGGGAAAUCCAGGUGGUUUUCUAUCUA
rnacentral:ncRNA from 1 species